CUGCAACUCGCCUGUAUGAAGUCGGAAUUGCUAGUAAUGGCAGGUCAGCAUACUGCCGUGAAUACGUUCCCGGGCCUUGUACACACCGCCCGUCACACCAUGAGAGUUGGGGAUACCCGAAGCCUGUGAGCUAACUUUUAGAGGCAGCAGUCGAAGGUAGAAUCAAUGAUUGGGGUGAAGUCGUAACAAGGUAAC
rnacentral:rRNA from 1 species